GAUCUUCUGAAGGUCGAUGUCACCUCGAUCCACGAUCUCCCGGAUAAGGUGAAAGCGAUGCAGAAUAUGUUUGAUGCACUGAUGGGACCUCGGCUCCUUGGCUUGAGCAAUAGCUCUAGUAUUGUCGUAGUAUAACAAGACAAGACCAUCAACAGAGAGUGCCACUUUGAGCUCGUCGAUGAACUUUCACAACCAUACAGCUUCCU
rnacentral:lncRNA from 1 species